UUCUUGCAAUUCCGGUUUCAACAGUGGCAUCUGAGUCCGUGUUUAGCACAGGAGGAAGAAUAAUUAGUCCACACCGUAGUAAGCUUGCACCAUCAAUGGUGGAAGCACUCAUGUGUAUGCAGGCUUGGUCCCGUGCUGACAUGUUAGGGUCUCCAACUAUGAUGGGUGUUUUGAUGACUUGUCUUGAUGAACAAGAUGAAGAGAUGGAUGAACAUGAAUCAACAAUUGUUGAUUAACCAUUUGAGAUGAUCAGAUGAACCUGCUUGUUGGAUCUAGAUGCUUGGCUGCUUGCUGUCUGUUGGAGUGUUGGGUGCUGCUAGCCUGCUACAAACUACUUGUUGAACCUGACUGUCAUGUACUCAUAUUGUGAGAGACUGCUUGCUGUAAUAUGUAUGCUACAAACUGCUUGUUGAACCUGACUGUUUGCUGUAAUAUGUAUGCUGCUACAAACUGUUUGAUGCUACAAACUGUUUGCUAUUGAGUAUUGGCUGUCAUGUUGGCCUUGUUUACUUGCUAUUGACUAAAUGUAAUUAAUAUGUAUGCUGUAGUCUUUCAUCAUUUCAUGCCCUUUUUUUUCUGAUGAAGUAUGAAUGUAUGAUCUUGUUUGUCACUAUAUCUUGUACUGUGUUGCUGCUUGGCUGCUGGAAAUCAGCACAUUUGUUUCGGGUCUGCGGGUCCCCGACGGGUUGCGGGCCUCCACGGGUUCGGGUCCGGGUGCGUGUUUUCACCCGUAAUACAAUUCGGGUUCGGGUCGGGUCUGCAAUUCGGGUUUCGGGUGCGGGUCCGCGGACAUUGCACCCGACCCGAACCCG